AACGAACGCUGGCGGCAGGCUUAACACAUGCAAGUCGAGCGCCCCGCAAGGGGAGCGGCAGACGGGUGAGUAACGCGUGGGAAUCUACCCAUCACUACGGAACAACUCCGGGAAACUGGAGCUAAUACCGUAUACGUCCUUCGGGAGAAAGAUUUAUCGGUGAUGGAUGAGCCCGCGUUGGAUUAGCUAGUUGGUGGGGUAAUGGCCUACCAAGGCGACGAUCCAUAGCUGGUCUGAGAGGAUGAUCAGCCACACUGGGACUGGGACACGGCCCAGACUCCUACGGGAGGCAGCAGUGGGGAAUAUUGGACAAUGGGCGAAAGCCUGAUCCAGCCAUGCCGCGUGAGUGAUGAAGGCCCUAGGGUUGUAAAGCUCUUUCACCGGUGAAGAUAAUGACGGUAACCGGAGAAGAAGCCCCGGCUAACUUCGUGCCAGCCGCCGCCGUAA
rnacentral:rRNA from 1 species